CCUACGGGAGGCAGCAGCAGGGAAUAUUGUGCAAUGAACGAAAGUUUGACACAGCGACACCGCGUGUGGGAUGACGGAUCUAGGUUUGUAAACCACUUUCAGGAGGGAAGAAAAUGACGGUACCUCCACAAGAAGCCCCGGCCAACUACGUGCCAGCAGCCGCGGUAAUACGUAGGGGGCGAGCGUUGUCCGGAUUUAUUGGGCGUAAAGAGCUCGUAGGCGGUUCAACAAGUCGGUCGUGAAAGUUCAGGGCUCAACCCUGAAAUGUCGAUCGAUACUGUUGUGACUAGGAUACGGUAGAGGUGAGUGGAAUUCCGAGUGUAGCGGUGAAAUGCGUAGAUAUUCGGAGGAACACCAAUUGCGAAGGCAGCUCACUGGACCGCUAUCGACGCUGAGGAGCGAAAGCUAGGGGAGCAAACAGGAUUAGAUACCCUGGUAGUCCUAGCUGUAAACGAUGGAUACUAGACGUAGGAACCGGAUUGACGGUUUCUGUGUCGUAGCUAACGCGUUAAGUAUCCCGCCUGGGGAGUACGGUCGCAAGACUAAAACUCAAAUGAAUUGACGG
rnacentral:rRNA from 1 species